rnacentral:lncRNA from 1 species
UGUGGAGAUGGCCAACACUGUAUGGAUUGUGACAUCACGACAGGGGAAUGCCUCACGGCGUGUUCUAAAGGAUAUUUUGACAGGACCUGCAGUUCGAAAUGCAGCAAUGGUUGCAAAAAUAAUGCCUGUGUGUCUUCAGGCGAUGGCAUUGAGAACUGCACUGAAGGGUGCGUGCAAGGUUUUCAAGGCACUAAAUGCAAAACACAAUGUUACAAUCCUGGAGUAAAAUGUACAAAAUGUCAAAACGGAUGUCUUGGAGAGUUUUGCCAAAUGGGUUCAUCCUGUGUAUCCGGAUGCGUGUGACUCUUUCUUUGGCUCAGGCUGUAGGAAUUGUUCCAGUAGAUGCAACACAUGCAAUAAGACAACAGGAGCCUGUGACGAGUGCCAUCCACCGUAUAUUAGUUCACAGUGUGAGCGUUCGUGUGUUCACUGUUUGGGAUCGUGUGGAGCUGGAUGUGAACAAGAAUGUAAACCUGGGUUUUAUGGAUAUUGGUGUGAUAAGAUGUGCAGCAGACAUUGCAAAAAUGCCAAUAAUACAUCAACAUAUGACGAACGCGAAUGUCACAAGAAGACUGGAGAUUGCAGUCAAGGUUGUGAUGAUGGCUGGUAUGGUACCAACUGUUCAUCUGAGUGUAAUUCAAACUGUAUCAAUAUGUCAUGCACAUCAUUCGGGAACUGUGUGCAUGGUUGUAUACCUGGUUAUUUCGGCCCGACUGCACAUGCUCUGGUAACUGCUUCAAUGGCAGUUGUUAUGCAGAAAACGGGUCAUGUGCACAAGGUUGUACGAAUAAUUUUUAUGGCUCAUUUUGUAACGUGUCUUGUGAUGCAUGUCUUGGUGGUGUUUGUGACCAGAUGACUGGCACAUGUAUCAGAGGAUGCAACAUAACUGUCACAGUGUGUCAUCCUCCAUGUACACACGACUGUCCCAUUGAUCACUGCAUGACAGAGAGGAACUGUCACACAGAAACGCCGACUGAGAAGAAUAGCCAUCGUGUCACAAUAGGGAUCGCAACAAUGCUUUUGCUAUGUGCAGUUGGCAUUGCCAUGACAAAUGUGAUCAUUUGUUAUCGCAAACGUUUGGCAAGGGAACAUCAGGUGCAGCCAUAUUAUUCGGAUUACCAGUCACACACCUAUUGGGAAAUACGAUAUACUGACAUGGCCACAGAGUGUCAGCCAUACCAGAUAAACAGUGUUGAAGAGCAGGAUCCGAACAUGCUGGUUUUGGCUUGAUCAAUUUGAUGAUGUGAAUGGUCGUGAAAUCAGGAAUGUGGCAUCCAUAGAAGAGUCAUCUCUAGAUUUGCAAUCGUAUUCACAUUUAGAGAAUGCAAACCAAAUUUCGAAUUGCCCUAAUUUGGAUGAUAAAUACAUAUCUCCAGUUGUGGAAUGUGACGCAAGUACACAGACAGUCAAUAUCUGAAUUUGAUAACACCAAUUUUGGUCACACUGAUGAGUAACGUAUCAGAGCAGGAUGUCGUCAUGUCAUUACAACCUAUGACACAACAGAAGCUAACUUCUGUCAACAAGGAAAGCAGUUUGAGGAAAUAUAAUUUUGGUUUGUUGUUUUACGCCGCACUCAGCAAUAUUCCCGCCAUAUGGCGGCAGUUUGUAAACACUCGAGUCUGGGCCAGACAAUCCAAUUAUUGACAUCAUGAGCAUCGAUCCACGCAAUUUGGAUUGAUGCACGGAGAAGGUCGGCCAACUCGGAAACCGGAAUAGUCGAUUUCUUAUUCCGUGUACGGAUAUUUUCUCGUCUCCGAUGACCAAUCGGUAAAACAGGUACGCAGGUUUUGUUUUGUUUUUGUUUUAUGGUUUCUCAACAUCUUAGAUUUUUUCCCGAUACGAUAGUGAAUUGGGUUUUAGUUUGGGAUUGAUCAGGAGCAGUCGCGUUGCAUUUUUUUGCUUUGUGUCAGCGGCCACAUCUGAACAGGGUACUACAUUGUUUUCAUUGGUGCAAGAUUCCUGUCAUUUCCGAAAACAAGGCACCAAAGUCAAUAUCGCUCAAUAAAUCAAUUUCGUUCACCUCAGUUAUUUAACAGAAUUUAUUUUCUUUACUUGCAUUAUUAGUAUUGAAAGAUAGCCAUUCCAUAUCCAAAUCACCGUAAGGACAAUCCAUUUUCUUUCAUGUAGCAGCUAGACGACAUCAAACACCAGAACCAAAGCAUUAAUUUAUUAACAAGUCAGAUGAAAUGUUAAAAAACCAGGCAAAAAUACUAAAUUAAUGAUAUUGCUGAUAAAUGCAGGAAUUAAAAGAAAAUCGAAAAACGAGUUGAUCCUAAACACUGAUCGAGAAUUCGGGGAAAACCCGGAAAGUAGUUCAUUUUUUGUCCGUUCACAGAUGUGUGAAUUCCAGAUAUCAGAUCACGUGACUACCCAUUCAGCCAAUCAGCAUGAAAGAAACAGUGUAAGCUUCAAAGUAUGAAAAACAUUACUUAUUGUAAUGAUAAGAGUGAAAACAAAGAAAAGUCAUAUGAAAUGUAACCCCUACAGAGAAACGUCACUGUAGGCUGACUAUUGUUCAGAUGACGGAAUAUAAUCAAUUUAUGACAUCAUGAAUGACGUCAUGACCAAUCAGCUUCGAGAAUUGCUAAAAUACACUUGGGCAAAUGUUGAAAUGAUACAUGAUCGCCCUACCCGUAUGGAUAAUGUUGAAACUUUUGUCAGUUAUGUGCUGAAAACAUUUUUUUUAUAUAAAAUGGGCAGGGUUAUCGAUGCGAUAACUGAUACACUUGGUAUCACGAUCCGAUAAAUGUAAAAAUGAGGUCACUCAGCUUCAUACAGUUUGGCCAAUAACGUAUUGUCUGAUGUUCACAGUGAUUUAGAUAGAGGUUUCCCCUAUGUGUGAAUGUUGAUGCAGACAAACAUGGGGCGCGUCACCCUAACAUUGUGUACAAACGCGAAUUCUAAAGAAACCUCAUUGUGUAUAGGUAUACCAAAUACGGAAUUCAUAAUGAUACAUUUUAAAUUCCAAACAUAUGAUAUUUAUGAUACAGAAACACACACGGCCUUAAUAUAUGUAUCAGGCACAAACACAUUAAAAUAGAGGCAUGACAGCACUCUUUCAUUAAACAGACGAUAUUACUGUGUAUUUCCAUCUAUAUGCAUAUAUGGAUGUAUAUAGUUCAUGUAUAAUGUACUAUUACUCUACAGCUAGGUAAGUAUCAUGUGUGG